rnacentral:tRNA from 1 species
GUGGGUACAGCUCAGUGGUAGAGCACAUGCUUAGCAUACAUGAGGUCUUGGGUUCAAUCCCCAGCAUCUCCA